rnacentral:lncRNA from 1 species
GUUGAGUAGAUGUGGGAAUGGAUGAAUUAAAAGCUCUCUUUAAAUUUCUUCCACUUUUCCUCUUGAGUUUUACCUCAAUAGCUUUAAGAAUAUGGUCAAUCAAUUCCAAAAACUUAGUUUCCCAUUCAAUUCUCUUAAUUUAUGGUCUCAAAAAUAUCUACAAUUAAUGCUCUAGCCAUUGGAAGCUUGAAAAUAGUUAUUAAAAAUA